rnacentral:rRNA from 1 species
UACGAAGGGGGCUAGCGUUGUUCGGAAUUACUGGGCGUAAAGCGCGCGCAGGCGCCUAUCCAAGUCAGUGGUGAAAGCCCGGAGCUCAACUCCGGAACUGCCAUUGAAACUGUUUAGCUUGAGGAUGAGAGAGGUGAGUGGAAUUCCCAGUGUAGAGGUGAAAUUCGUAGAUAUUGGGAAGAACACCGGUGGCGAAGGCGGCUCACUGGCUCAUUACUGACGCUCAGGCGCGAUAGCGUGGGGAUCAAACAGG